UUUAUUCUAGGGGCGCCCGCUAGCGCUGCCAAGCGAAGCCCCGUAAGGCUCCCCGGGACUGACCAGCCGCCCAGCCAUGCUCCCCGGGACUGACCAGUGGCUGGACCGUUUGCACGAAGGAGCCUCCCCUCCAACCCCGCCGCCUCCUCCUCCUCCUCCUCGCCGUUUCCCUCUGGCGAGCGCCAAUGAUGAGAGAGAGGAAGAACCAACCAUCACGGAGCAGUCUUAUGGUGAAAGGUAUAAGUACCCCAACAUUCUUUAAAGCAAGAUAGAAACCAGAGAAUUAUGUAAGUAUCAGGAGUUGCCAUACAUACACAGACCUUGAAAUUGUUCCUCUCUCUUUUUUCUUUACUACAAAUUGAAUUCUCUAGCCAGCAUGACAGUAGCCUCACUUUUCCUUCUGAAGGGAUGAGCAACUUGGGUCCUCUAGAUCACUGGUGGACCGCUUCUCCAGUUAUUCUUCUUUAGUCGUUAUGGAGGUUAGGGAUGAAAAAAGCUUUGGCCUAUCAAUAUCUAAAAGGCCACAGAUUUUGAUUCAUUCAUCCCCAUGUCAUCACUAGACAUAGGGAUGAAUGAUAAAACAAAUCAAGAUAUUUGUGAAAUAUCCCUGAUUCAUGGGAACAGAGACCCCAACGAAUAUGAAAGGAUGAA
rnacentral:lncRNA from 1 species